UUUACGUUAUGUGCAUUAAUAUGAAACAAAACUUUGGACAUCUUGGAUAAUAGAAUACUUGAAGAUGGGGUACCCCUUGAAAGCAAGUAUCGUGAUUAUCCUCGGAAAGUGCUGGAAGCAUUUUCAUUGUUCCUCCACCGUGCGGAAUACAAGUGUUAUAGGCAUGUAGCUAAAUUCAAGAUACGGUUAAUAGAAAUGCCUUGGAGAUCCAACAUGAACAUUGUUGAUUGUGGUGUAUAUGCAAUGAGACAUAUGGAAACCUACCAUGCACAAAACAACUGGGAUUGUGGACUAUACUCAGAUAAUUUUGAAGGUUUGAAGAAGCUAAGGAUACAAUACUGCAUU